AGGCACCGCACCAUCUCUCACCACGGCUCGGCCAGCCAAUAGCUAGUCGAGCUCCAGAACUCGGGCCUGCCUAUUGGCCCAAGAGCCCCGGGGGCGCAAGCAUGGUGCCCUUUCACUCCAACGAAAAGAACAAAGAGGGAAGUAUGGUGCGGUACAGAGAGAGAAGGCACCCUGAUUCCAGCAGGCCUCAGUAAACAGCACUCCAGAAGCAGAUGAGCCUCUUUCUGACAAUCACCAGAAGGUCAACAGAAGCCUAAAGCUUUGUCACAGUGCCAAGUCAUUUACCUGACUUCGUCACCUAGGAUUUUAUUGUCUCCCCUCAUCAUAAGAAGGGGGACAUUUGCAAGGAGUCUAUUGUGAAGCGACAUGAGCCAGUUUGUUCAACACUUACCAAGGUAAAAUCAGGUCAUUAGAUGUCAGAUGACUAAAGACACGUGGUGCGCCCAUGUGCGUCUCUCACACCACCAGGCUUCCACGUGAUAUGUUAAAAAUAAAAGCAAACCUUAAAUUCU